rnacentral:piRNA from 1 species
UUCUCGUUAUUCAUCCGGUGAAGCAGAGG